rnacentral:rRNA from 1 species
GCGCUCCUACGGGGCGCAACAGUAGGGAAUCUUCCACAAUGGACGAAAGUCUGAUGGAGCAACGCCGCGUGAGUGAAGAAGGGUUUCGGCUCGUAAAGCUCUGUUGGUAGUGAAGAAAGAUAGAGGUAGUAACUGGCCUUUAUUUGACGGUAAUUACUUAGAAAGUCACGGCUAACUACGUGCCAGCAGCCGCGGGAAUACGGAGGUGGCAAGCGUUGUCCGGAUUUAUUGGGCGUAAAGCGAGUG